GCCAUUCCGCGUGCAGGACGAAGGCCUUCGGGUUGUAAACUGCUUUUGUACGGAACGAAAAGGUCUCUAUUAAUACUAGGGGCUCAUGACGGUACCGUAAGAAUAAGCACCGGCUAACUACGUGCCAGCAGCCGCGGUAAUACGUAGGGUGCAAGCGUUAAUCGGAAUUACUGGGCGUAAAGCGUGCGCAGGCGGUUAUAUAAGACAGAUGUGAAAUCCCCGGGCUCAACCUGGGAACUGCAUUUGUGACUGUAUAGCUGGAGUGCGGCAGAGGGGGAUGGAAUUCCGCGUGUAGCAGUGAAAUGCGUAGAUAUGCGGAGGAACACCGAUGGCGAAGGCAAUCCCCUGGGCCUGCACUGACGCUCAUGCACGAAAGCGUGGGGAGCAAACAGGAUUAGAUACCCUGGUAGUCCACGCCCUAAACGAUGUCAACUGGUUGUUGGGUCUUCACUGACUCAGUAACGAAGCUAA
rnacentral:rRNA from 1 species